rnacentral:rRNA from 1 species
CAGCAGCCGCGGUAAUACCGGCGGCCCGAGUGGCGGUCACUAUUAUUGGGCUUAAAGCGUCCGUAGCCGGGUUGGGAAGUCCUCCGGUAAAUCUGGCCGCUUAACGGUCAGAAUGCCGGAGGAUACUCCCAGCCUAGGGAGCGGGAGAGGCCGAGGGUAUUCCCGGAGUAGGGGGGAAAUCCUAUAAUCCCGGGAGGACCACCUGUGGCGAAGGCGCUCGGCUGGAACGCGUCCGACGGUGAGGGACGAAGGCCAGGGGAGCAAACCGGAUUAGAUACCCGGGUAGUCCUGGCUGUAAACGAUGCGGACUUUGUGUCGGACAAGCUAUGAGCUUGUCCGGUGCCGGAGGGAAACCGUUAAGUCCGCCGCCUGGGGAGUACGGCCGCAAGGCUGAAACUUAAAGGAAUUGGCGGG